rnacentral:rRNA from 1 species
UACAGAGGGGGCAAGCGUUGUUCGGAAUUACUGGGCGUAAAGGGCGCGUAGGCGGCCUGCUAAGUCGAACGUGAAAUCCCCGGGCUCAACCCGGGAACUGCGUCCGAUACUGGCAGGCUUGAAUCCGGGAGAGGGAUGUGGAAUUCCAAGUGUAGCGGUGAAAUGCGUAGAUAUCUGGAGGAACACCGGUGGCGAAGGCGGCAUCCUGGACCGGUAUUGACGCUGAUGCGCGAAAGCCAGGGGAGCAAACGGG